GAGCACUUAGGAAGAGAUGGUUCCCGACUCUGAACUUCGGAGCGGGAUUAAAAGGGAACACGGUGAGACCAGGCCGCAAGGCUUCAAAUCCGUGACUGCCCCCGCAACUGUGAGCGGUGAGCAAACCUGAAAGCGCCACUGGGGAAACCCCGGGAAGGAUCAGGCAAGCUAUGACCCGCAAGUCAGGAGACCUGCCAUUUCACCUUAAACCUUA
rnacentral:ncRNA from 18 species